GCUCGCUUAGGCAGCACCAUGUGCUAAAAUUGGAAGGAGACAGAAGAUUAGCUUGGUCACUGCACAGGGAUGAUAUGCCAGGUGGUGAAGCAUUCCAUGUUUGU